CGGGGUGCAGCAGGCGCGAAAACUUUGCAAUGCGGGAAACCGUGACAGGGGAACUCCGAGUGCCCGUUAAAUCGGGCUGUCCACCAGUUUAAAUAACUGGUGAAGAAAGGGCCGGGCAAGACCGGUGCCAGCCGCCGCGGUAAUACCGGCGGCUCGAGUGGUGGCCACUAUUACUGGGCUUAAAGCGUUCGUAGCUGGUUUGUUAAGUCUCUGGGGAAAUCUUCCGGCUUAACCGGAAGGCGUCUCAGGGAUACUGGCAGACUAGGGACCGGGAGAGGUGAGGGGUACUCCAGGGGUAGGAGUGAAAUCCUGUAAUCCUUGGGGGACCACCUGUGGCGAAGGCGCCUCACCAGAACGGCUCCGACAGUGAGGGACGAAAGCUGGGGGAGCAAACCGGAUUAGAUACCCGGGUAGUCCCAGCUGUAAACGAUGCGCGUUAGGUGUAUCGGUGACCACGAGUCACCGAGGUGCCGAAGAGAAAUCGUGAAACGUGCCGCCUGGGAAGUACGGUCGCAAGGCUGAAACUUAAAGGAAUUGGCGGGGGAGCAC
rnacentral:rRNA from 1 species